rnacentral:rRNA from 1 species
GACGAACGCUGGCGGUGUGCUUCACACAUGCAAGUCGAACGAGGUAGCAAUACCUAGUGGCGGACGGGUGAGUAACGCGUGGGAAUCUGCCUUUAGAUGGGGGGAUAACGGGUCGAAAGACUCGCUAAUACCGCAUAUGACGAAAGUUGAAAGGAGUAAUCCGUCUAAAGAUGAGCCCGCGUCCGAUUAGCUAGUUGGUAGAGUAAAAGCCUACCAAGGCGACGAUCGGUAGCUGGUCUGAGAGGAUGAUCAGCCACAAUGGGACUAGAGACACGGCCCAUACUCCUACGGGAGGCAGCAGUGGGAAUUUUACGCAAUGGCGAAAGCCUGACGUAGCGACACCGCGUGAGCGAAGAAGCCCCUUGGGGUGUAAAGCUCUGUCAGCUGGACGAAAAAAUGACGGUACCAGCAGAGGAAGCAUCGGCUAACUACGUGCCAGCAGCCGCGGUAA